AUGCUUGCGAGACCCCCUCAGGCCAGAGUCUCCCCUCCAGAGGCUGAGUCAGGAGGACAACUAGGUGCUCAGGGCUGCAGGAACCUUGCCCUCUGCUUGUGUGUUCACAGCAAUGCCCACAGCACGCUGGGUGACGCUGCAGACUCUUCCAGAUCUGCCACAAUGUCACCUUUCUUGUGGAUUCGCACAUGCAUGGCCCAAGGAACCACUCCACGUUUUCUGAGAGGCUUAGAGAGGCUGUAGCAGGUGCCUCUCCUCUUUCCCUUUGUGUUGGUCAUUUUGGCGAAUUACUGGAAGAUGCUGGUUCUGGCUGAAAUUUUGUUGCUUAAAUAAGCAAUUGCUAAAUCAUAGAAAAAAUAAAAUAAAUUUUUUAAUUCUAUUACGUAAACCCUAGACUCUGAUAGCACCAUGGAAGGGUGGGAAGGAGUUAUUUCAAAAAAUAUAAAUGAGUGUUGUUAGUCAUCUUAGUAGUUAGUCAUGGGCCCCAGGAAACAGAAACAGAGUGUGUGACUUUCAGAACAGCCUGUCCCCAGGCCACGGCCGCCACAGAGAAGAUGGCCAUGCCCCUCUGUGCGCUGGACUGGGCAAAGCCGCCAAGAGGUCCUCACUGAGGGCUGUAAGUAAAAGGGCUAUCCAUAAAAUUUGAUUUGGAAACAAAAUCUUAGAAUGGACUGAAAUCUACCAGCCCAGGCUCAGCCAACACUGAGACCACUGCAGAGAAGGGCAGUUUGGAAGCAGGUGCGGGUGGAUCAAGGGAGCCCUGACGUUUGGGGAGAAGUGGACACCACAGCACUCUGGGCACGGAGACUGUCGGGGAAGAUGUCCUUGCGUGUGCACCGACGAUGGCUUUUGAUUCAUGCUUCUCGGCUCGCACUGGGGCAGUGGGGAUAGCUAAACUCAAGACAGGGUACCAGCAGGAUCAUGUCACCCUGGUCUGUGAUGAGAAUCUUGACAUCGCUGGGCUCCGGGGUGCUCAGUGCUGAGUUAGCAGGGCUGCUUGGCUGGCUAACAAGUGAAUUUUGAAACCGCAAAGUCCCGAGGAACCCAGAGAAACUCUGCUUGGCUUCAAGACUUCUCAAGUCCAGCUUCACACGGAAGUGAAAGUGGAGCAGAGUUUGGUGGCUUCAUUUACCAGAAGGUGAACAAAAAGUUGGGGAUCCAGGUUAAAGAUGCUUCAUCUCAGUGGUGUUACCCUUUCAGAGGUACAAUUCCAAUAAAUUCCAAUUCAAAAAAAAAAAAAAAGAAAGAAAGAAAGUCCUUUCAGCUAGCUCUGGAGAUCUGGAGUAAGGACCAGGAUGUGAAAAGCUUUGCAGGCCGUUCUGCCCUGUGGCCAUAUGGGGAGCGGGUGGAAAGCCCAUGUGAAAAUGUGGGUAAGACACUGAGCUGAGAUUGAGGUGGCCUUGUAAGGCUGGCAACAAAAAUCAAAAUCUAGUGUCUGUGGAGAUCUGGGAACCACCCCCAAUUUUGCGUUGGGACCUCAAAGGGCUCCACUGCCCAUGUAAUGGUGAAUUGGAAAUAAGCUAGCCUUCCUAAAAAGGGUGCCUAGCUUCAGCUCAUAUGGUGGCUGGAAGGCCACCAUGCUUGGAUGUGGGUUAAGAUGACCUUUUACUGGGGCUCCUGGGUGGCUCAGUGGGUUAAGCAUCUGUCUUCGGCUCGGGUCGUGAUCCUGGGUCCUGGGAUCGAGCCCCUGAGUCGGGCUCCCUGCUCAGCGGGGAGUCUGCUUCUCCCUUUCCCUCUGCCCCUGCCCCCCUAUCCCCUACUCAUGCUUUCUCUUGCUCUCUCUCUCAAAUAAAUACAUAAAAUCUUCAAAAAAAAAAAAAAGAUGAUCUUGUACGGUACUGCUUCCAGAACACCGACUUUUUCAAAAUGAAUUUUAGCAAUUAAAUAUGCUUGGGAAAAAUUAAAUCAACUCGGGCUUCAAAUUAAUUCUAUAAAUUAAUUUCAAAAUGCAAUGAGCACACAAAGACAGGCCCACAAGGAGACAAGACACCACGAGUCACCAUCAGAAGUCAUGAGAGACAGGUCGCCCCCGUGGCUGGCUGAUCAGGAUGAAAGACGGAGAAGGAACCGAUAGCCAGUAUUUGCAAUGAAGAACACGCCAUGGUUAUAUGUUCUGAACUUACCAAAAAUUAAAACAAGAAGAUACCAUGUCAUUUUAGUAGAAAUGAUGAAUAGUUCCCAGAAAAAUUAAUACUUUUUUCCAGGAAGAAAUAUUGAGGAAAAAAAAAAACUGGAAAGGACACCGGGAGAGAAAGAACACCUGACCAGUGCUGUCCCGAUGAAAUAAAUUGAACCAGAUUUCAAGCUUUCAACAAAGAAAACUCCAGGCCCACGGAGCAUUGCUAGCAAUUCUAC
rnacentral:lncRNA from 1 species